GGGCUGCAGCUCAGUGACAGAGCAUCUGCUUUGCAUGCAGAAGUUUCAGAGGUUCAAUACCCAGUAGCAUCU